CCUACGGGCGGCAGCAGUGGGGAAUAUUGCACAAUGGGGGAAACCCUGAUGCAGCGACGCCGCGUGAGUGAAGAAGUAAUUCGGUACGUAAAGCUCUAUCAGCAGGGAAGAAAAUGACGGUACCUGAGUAAGAAGCCCCGGCUAACUACGUGCCAGCAGCCGCGGUAAUACGUAGGGGGCAAGCGUUAUCCGGAUUUACUGGGUGUAAAGGGAGCGUAGACGGCAGGGCAAGUCUGGAGUGAAAGGCCGGGGCUUAACCCUCGGACUGCUUUGGAAACUGUCCGGCUGGAGUGCAGGAGAGGUAAGUGGAAUUCCUAGUGUAGCGGUGAAAUGCGUAGAUAUUAGGAGGAACACCAGUGGCGAAGGCGGCUUACUGGACUGUAACUGACGUUGAGGCUCGAAAGCGUGGGGAGCAAACAGGAUUAGAUACCCGGGUAGUC
rnacentral:rRNA from 1 species